CACGGCCUUGGUUUGGCCAGGGCCGGGGUGGUUUCUUCGCUGUUUCACCCCACCUGAAGAGGCAGUGGCACAGGGCUUGAGAGGCCAGCCGGGGGUUGGAGCCAGCCCCCUUCCCCCAGCAGGCAGGCAGGGCAUCGGAGCCGAGCCAUAGAUGGGCCGACGGGUGGCCCGGGAGCUGCAGAAGCAGCGGAGAUCGUGCAGAGCUGGAAGACUUCCAGGCAGAGGAUGAGAGAAAGACUUGAAGCAGUCUCGCUGCCACUUCCCCCCCCCCCCCCAAUGGUGGGGGAGGAGGCGACCCUGAGUUGAGACUGAGCAACGGAGAGACAGGGCGAGGGGCUCGGAGGUGAUUUGGGCGGGGGCAGCUGAAAACCAAAAGAGGAAUAUGGGGGAGGAAUGCCUCCUGUGACAUGUGGAAGUCGAGCUGAAGCUGCAGCUGAAACAGAGAGAAGCCAAACCAAGCAGACUUUUUCUGGGUGAAGCAUGUCAGGAGACAAGAGCCUGAACUACAAAUGUGCUGUGAAUAUUGCAGCCUCCACUGAGCCUGCAGGUGAUUGCUAUGGGAAUUACUACGAUGAAAAUAAUUUAGGGUGAAAGGCAGAUGAAUUCUUAAGAAGUAAGUAUACUCUCAUGCAACAGUAAUAUUGUCAUGUCCCUAAUGAUAAAAGUGAUAGAAGAAAACCCAAAAGAUACAUGACACCCAGACAAAGUGUUUUUAACUAGAACAUUUUUCAAAGUUUUCCAGACGACAUCAAUUGCUUCUUAAGCAAAUUGUUUUGUACAGAACUCCAAUGGGAGAAUUACAAAACUCCCCUCUUCAGCCUACAAUUAGUUUAAUCAGGUAACUGAGGGCUUGAA